GGUAAUGUAGCUCAGUUGGUAGAGCAAAGGACUGAAAAUCCUUGUGUCGGCGGUUCGAUUCCGUCCAUUACCACCA
rnacentral:tRNA from 2 species